AUGGGGCGCCUUGCGCGCACCGGCGGACGGCUCAGUAACACGUCGGUAACCUACCCUCGGGAGGGGGAUAACCCCGGGAAACUGGGGCUAAUCCCCCAUAGGCCUGAGGUACUGGAAGGUCCUCAGGCCGAAAGGGGCUUUGCCCGCCCGAGGAUGGGCCGGCGGCCGAUUAGGUAGUUGGUGGGGUAACGGCCCACCAAGCCGAAGAUCGGUACGGGCCAUGAGAGUGGGAGCCCGGAGAUGGACACUGAGACACGGGUCCAGGCCCUACGGGGCGCAGCAGGCGCGAAACCUCCGCAAUGCGGGAAACCGCGACGGGGGGACCCCCAGUGCCGUGGCAUCGCCACGGCUUUUCCGGAGUGUAAAGAGCUCCGGGAAUAAGGGCUGGGCAAGGCCGGUGGCAGCCGCCGCGGUAAUACCGGCGGCCCGAGUGGUGGCCGCUAUUAUUGGGCCUAAAGCGUCCGUAGCCGGGCCCGUAAGUCCCUGGCGAAAUCCCACGGCUCAACCGUGGGGCUUGCUGGGGAUACUGCGGGCCUUGGGACCGGGAGAGGCGGAGGGUACUCCUGGGGUAGGGGUGAAAUCCUAUAAUCCCAGGAGGACCGCCAGUGGCGAAGGCGCUCCGCUGGAACGGGUCCGACGGUGAGGGACGAAGGCCAGGGGAGCAAACCGGAUUAGAUACCCGGGUAGUCCUGGCUGUAAACGCUGCCCGCUUGGUGUUGCCGGUCUUCGGGGGCCGGCAGUGCCGGAGCGAAGGUGUUAAGCGGGCCGCUUGGGAAGUACGGCCGCAAGGCUGAAACUUAAAGGAAUUGGCGGGAGAGCACUGCAACGGGAGGAGCGUGCGGUUUAAUUGGAUUCAACGCCGGG
rnacentral:rRNA from 1 species